rnacentral:tRNA from 4 species
CGCGGGGUGGAGCAGCUGGUAGCUCGUUGGGCUCAUAACCCAAAGGUCGGCGGUUCGAAUCCGCCCCCCGCUACCA